AUUGAACGCUGGCGGCAUGCCUUACACAUGCAAGUCGAACGGUAACAGGACUUCGGAUGCUGACGAGUGGCGAACGGGUGCGGAAUACAACGGAACGUGCCCGAUAGUGGGGGAUAACGGAGCGAAAGCUUUGCUAAUACCGCAUACGAUCUACGGAUGAAAGCAGGGGACCGCAAGGCCUUGCGCGGACGGAGCGGCCGAUGGCAGAUUAGGUAGUUGGUGGGUUAAAAGCUUACCAAGCCGACGAUCUGUAGCUGGUCUGAGAGGACGACCAGCCACACUGGGACUGAGACACGGCCCAGACUCCUACGGGAGGCAGCAGUGGGGAAUUUUGGACAAUGGGCGAAAGCCUGAUCCAGCCAUGCCGCGUGCAGGAUGAAGGCCUUCGGGUUGUAAACUGCUUUUGUACGGAACGAAAAGACUCUUUCUAAUAAAGAGGGUCCAUGACGGUACCGUAAGAAUAAGCACCGGCUAACUACGUG
rnacentral:rRNA from 1 species